GCGGGUGUAGCUCAAUGGUAGAGCCUCAGCCUUCCAAGCUGAUCACGUGGGUUCGAUUCCCAUCACCCGCUCCA
rnacentral:tRNA from 2 species